UACGUAGGGGGCUAGCGUUGUCCGGAAUCAUUGGGCGUAAAGCGCGUGUAGGCGGUUCGGUAAGUCCGCUGUGAAAGUCGGGGGCUCAACCCUCGAAUGCCGGUGGAUACUGUCGGACUAGAGUACGGAAGAGGCGAGUGGAAUUCCUGGUGUAGCGGUGAAAUUCGUAGAUAUUCGGAAGAACACCAGUGGCGAAGGCGGACUCACUGGUCCGGUACUGACGCUGAGGUG
rnacentral:rRNA from 1 species